rnacentral:rRNA from 1 species
GGUUGAUCCUGCCGGAGGUCACUGCUAUCGGGGUUCGAUUAAGCCAUGCGAGUCGAGAGGGUUCAGACCCUCGGCGGACUGCUCAGUAACACGUGGAUAAUCUGCCCUAUGGUGGAGGAUAACCCCGGGAAACUGGGGAUAAUACUCCAUAAGUCAGGAGUACUGGAAUGUCUCCUAACUGAAAGUUGCGGCGCCAUAGGAUGAAUCUGCGGCCGAUCAGGUAGUUGUUGGGGUAACGGCCCAACAAGCCCGUAAUCGGUACGGGUUGUGGGAGCAAGAGCCCGGAGAUGGAAUCUGAGACACGAUUCCAGGCCCUACGGGGCGCAGCAGGCGCGAAAACUUUACAAUGCAGGAAACUGUGAUAAGGGAACCCCGAGUGCCCGUACACGCGGGCUGUCCCGGUGUUUAAAACACAUCGGAAGAAAGGGCCGGGCAAGACCGGUGCCAGCCGCCGCGGUAAUACCGGCGGCUCGAGUGGUGACCACUUUUAUUGGGCUUAAAGCGUUCGUAGCUUGAUUUUUAAGUCUCUUGGGAAAUCUCACGGCUUAACUGUGAGGCGUCUAAGAGAUACUGGGAAUCUAGGGACCGGGAGAGGUAAGAGGUACUUCAGGGGUAGAAGUGAAAUUCUGUAAUCCUUGAGGGACCACCGAUGGCGAAGGCAUCUUACCAGAACGGCUUCGACAGUGAGGAACGAAAGCUGGGGGAGCGAACGGGAUUAGAUACCCCGGUAGUCCCAGCCGUAAACUAUGCGCGUUAGGUGUGCCUGUAACUACGAGUUACCGGGGUGCCGAAGUGAAAACGUGAAACGUGCCGCCUGGGAAGUACGGUCGCAAGGCUGCAACUUAAAGGGAUUGGCGGGGGAGCACCACAACGGGUGGAGCCUGCGGUUUAAUUGGACUCAACGCCGGGCAGCUCACCGGAUAGGACAGCGGAAUGAUAGCCGGGCUGAAGACCUUGCUUGACCAGCUGAGAGGAGGUGCAUGGCCGUCGUCAGUUCGUACUGUGAAGCAUCCUGUUUAGUCAGGCAACGAGCGAGACCCUC